rfam:Hordeum vulgare subsp. vulgare, WGS project CAJW01000000 data, contig: morex_contig_1581168
AAUAUACCACCUCCGUUUGAAAAUAAUUGUUCUAUAGAUGAAUAUAUCUAGACUUAUUUUGGUUAUAGAUACAUCCAUUAUAUCCAUUUCUAGGACAAGUAUUUCCGGACGGAGGGAGUACCAG